CUUUCCGUCGUACGCCAUUUGAUAGAGGGUACACAUGGUUUUUCACUCACUUACAAUGCGAUCAAAUAUAGAAUUUUGGGCUUAAUAUAGACUAAAGCUAAUAUGUUUGUUUGAAUGACAAUUAAAUGGAAUGAAUAAAAACUUAAUGGAGUGAUAGAGAGUAGAAAACUUUUCAAGCAAUUGUGGCAAAUGGAUGAAAAUAUGAAACAGCAGAUUAAUAGACUGUUUCAUUUCUCUUUACUAGAUUUAUUUUAAAGAUCAUAUUUGAUAUCAUUAUCAGUUUACUACUCUUAACUCUGAAUGCAAUGCUGGAAAUGUUUCUGUUCAGAAGUUUGUACUACAAAUGCACCCUUCCCCGAUUUAAAUUUUGUUCAGUAGCCUACACAACAAUGUGCUCAAAAAGUGUGUGCAUAUUUCAUCUAUCAUUUCAGCCAGAAAACAUUAUUCAAAGAAAGAUUAAAGCUCUUUAGAUGCCUUAUACAAUUUAAAUGGCCACAGACUUCUGAAUUUGAAAUCAGUUAUCUGUUAUAUGUUUGGCAUAUAUGAUAUCCUCUUUAUUUUGAAUAACGUAAAGCUAUAUGAAUAUGCUAAAUGCAGAGAACUUAUGCUUGAUACUUAUUAGUUAGGUAUAAUCUAUUGGACUAUAUUUAUUUUGUCAGAAUAGGUAGAAAUUAUCUUGUGAGGCCAAAUGACAAUGUUUAUUUCUGGUCGCAUAAUUUCUUACUAUGGCUAUGAUGACAUAAUUAGGACACCUUAUGAGAUCAAUGAUUCAAAACUUGUUAAUUAAACUGAGCCAUAGUGUAACUUAAUGAUUCUUAAUACUAUAUUGAUAACUUAUGUUGAAUAAGUUUCCUAUACAAACAAAUUUUGUUUCUUUGCAGCGUUGCAUGAGCUAAACCAUGCAGAUCUUUGUUAAGACCCUCACGGGUAAAACAAUUACCCUAGAGGUAGGUGAAUUCUUCUGUUUAUGCUAACUGUAAAUGUGUGUGAUGAUGAUGUGUGUUAUGAGUUCAUAAGGACUUUAAAGCAAUAUGAGCUGUAUUUUGUAGAAUUUUAUUUUGCUGCUAAAACCUGCUAGUAUGAUAAGUCUGCAUAUAACUUAAACUUUUAUGAUAAAUAAGAUUUGAAAUCAUCAUUUAUUUUUGUCAAAGGAAAUAUUUCUCUUCAAAGGAAUAUAUAGCAAAUCAAUUUUUGUACAGGACGACAAUUAUUCAAUUUUGCUCCAAAUAAGGCUUCUUAACGGCCUUUUCUACAAAAAUAUGGCUAACAGAAAUUUAAAAACAAUGAUAUUUUUGUCGUUUUAGUACAAAAGAACAUUUUAGU
rnacentral:misc_RNA from 1 species